rnacentral:rRNA from 1 species
GUGCACCAGUCGAGAAACCUCCGCAAUGCGGGAAACCGCGACGGGGGGACCCCGAGUGCCGUGGCAACGCCACGGCUUUUCCGGAGUGUAAAAAGCUCCGGGAAUAAGGGCUGGGCAAGGCCGGUGGCAGCCGCCGCGGUAAUACCGGCGGCCCGAGUGGUGGCCGCUAUUAUUGGGCCUAAAGCGUCCGUAGCCGGGCCCGUAAGUCCCUGGCGAAAUCCCACGGCUCAACCGUGGGGCUUGCUGGGGAUACUGCGGGUCUUGGGACCGGGAGAGGCGGGGGGUACCCCUGGGGUAGGGGUGAAAUCCUAUAAUCCCAGGGGGACCGCCAGUGGCGAAGGCGCCCCGCUGGAACGGGUCCGACGGUGAGGGACGAAGGCCAGGGGAGCAAACCGGAUUAGAUACCCAUGUAGUCC